rnacentral:rRNA from 1 species
AUUGAACGCUGGCGGCAGGCUUAACACAUGCAAGUCGAACGAAUGGCGGACGGGUUAGUACUGCUUGGGAAUCUAGCUUAUGGAGAGGGAUACCUACGGGAAACUAUAGCUAAUACCGCUUACCAUAGGAUGAGCCCAAGUGGGCUUAGGUAGUUGGUGGGGUCAAUGCUCACCACGCCGACGAUCUCUAGCUGGUCUGAGAGGCUGCCCAGCCACACCGGGACUGAGCCACCGCCCAGACUCCUACGGGAGGCAGCAGUGGGGAAUAUGGCGCAUGGGGGGCAACCGGACGCCGCCAUGCCGCGUGAAUGAAGAAGGCCUUCGGUUUGUAAAGUUCGUUCGGUAGCGAGGCGUUAACUACAGAAGAAGCACCGGCUAACUCCGUGCCAGCCGCCGCGGUAAUUC